rnacentral:rRNA from 14 species
UCCGGUGACCAUAUCGAAAAGGUCAUACCUGUUCCCAUUCCGAACACAGCCGUCAAGCUUUUCGAGCCGAUGAUAGUACCACAAGUGUGAAAGUAGGUAUCGCCGGAU